rnacentral:rRNA from 1 species
AUUGAACGCUGGCGGCAUGCUUUACACAUGCAAGUCGAACGGUAACAGGCCUUCGGGUGCUGCCGAGUGGCGAACGGGUGCGUAAUGCAUCGGAACGUACCCAGAGGUGGGGGAUAACGCAGCGAAAGCUGUGCUAAUACCGCAUGUGAUCUGAGGAUGAAGGCGGGGGACCGAGCAGCAAUGUUUGGCCUCGCGCCUUUGGAGCGGCCGAUGUCGGAUUAGCUAGUUGGUGGGGUAAAGGCCUACCAAGGCGACGAUCCGUAGCUGGUCUGAGAGGACGACCAGCCACACUGGGACUGAGACACGGCCCAGACUCCUACGGGAGGCAGCAGUGGGGAAUUUUGGACAAAGGGCGCAAGCCUGAUCCAGCAAUGCCGCGUGCGGGAAGAAGGCCUUCGGGUUGUAAACCGCUUUUGGCAGGAACGAAACGGUGUCCGCUAAUACCGGGCGCUAAUGACGGUACCUGCAGAAUAAGCACCGGCUAACUACGUG